rnacentral:sRNA from 1 species
GAGCGAGAUCUCCAGAGCUCCUGGAGAAACGAUCCGAAUGUCUCGCACCGACUCGCCGGGCUCGAAUG